rnacentral:rRNA from 1 species
UACGGUGAAUACGUUCCCGGACCUUGCACACACCGGCCCGUCUAAGCCAUGGAAGCCGGGUGUACCUAAAGUCGGUAACCGUAAGGAGCCGCCUAGGGUAAACUGGUGACUGGGGCU